rnacentral:snRNA from 1 species
AUACUUACCUGGCGUAGGGGACACCGUGAUCAACAAGGCGGUUCCCCAGGGCGAGGCCUGUCCAUUGCACUGCGGAUCGGUUGACUCCCUUGCGAUUACCCCUAAUGUGGGUAACUCGGACGCGUAAUUUUGGUAGUGGGGACUGCGUUCGCGCCGUCCCCC